UGGGGAAUAUUGGACAAUGGGCGAAAGCCUGAUCCAGCCAUGCCGCGUGUGUGAAGAAGGUCUUCGGAUUGUAAAGCACUUUAAGUUGGGAGGAAGGGCAGUUACCUAAUACGUGAUUGUUUUGACGUUACCGACAGAAUAAGCACCGGCUAACUCUGUGCCAGCAGCCGCGGUAAUACAGAGGGUGCAAGCGUUAAUCGGAAUUACUGGGCGUAAAGCGCGCGUAGGUGGUUAGUUAAGUUGGAUGUGAAAUCCCCGGGCUCAACCUGGGAACUGCAUUCAAAACUGACUGACUAGAGUAUGGUAGAGGGUGGUGGAAUUUCCUGUGUAGCGGUGAAAUGCGUAGAUAUAGGAAGGAACACCAGUGGCGAAGGCGACCACCUGGACUAAUACUGACACUGAGGUGCGAAAGCGUGGGGAGCAAACAGGAUUAGAUACCCCCGUAGUCCCUGAGCGGGCUGGCAAGGCGCAU
rnacentral:rRNA from 1 species